GGAGACGGAAGGGCGUUGGAGGGCAGUGGUUUCGAGAACAGAUAGGGAAGCAGUCGGGUGGCACCGCCGGUGAUGAGCCGGUAGGCCGGAUCAACGAGCUUUGAAAGCCAGCGCCUCUGCGAUUGGUCAUGCACGGGGCGAGCGUAAGGGGUCGGCGGCGGCUUUCUUGAGGUUGGCUUCCUAACUUUUCCUCCGACUCCUCCUCCGGCGUAUGGUGUGGACGACGUUCCUUCCUCAGCCCUCUCCAUGUUCC
rnacentral:misc_RNA from 1 species